AUGCAUGAGAAGCUUACGAGGAUGAUCACUAUCACCAGCGUAUCUAUUAUUAACAGCAAAGAAAUCUCCAUAUAUGCACUCAUGCGUAUGAUCUUACCGUCACAUAAAAUAGCAUAUACUCCAAGUCAAGAUGAUGUUGUAACCGUAUCUACAACAUCCAAAAAUAUUAAGCCAGGGUUCAGAAUGCUUGCCUUCAAGUGUAUGCAUGUGGGGUUGCAUUUUUUGAAGGUUGCCUUUUCUCCAAAAUCCUAUUUUGGGAAAUAUUCAAAUAACAUACAUUUCAAAUGCAGUACAAAAAGUUGUCCCAAAUAUUUUUGA
rnacentral:rRNA from 1 species